CCCUUAGAUGUUCUGGGCCGCACGCGCGCUACACUGACGAAUGCAACGAGCUUAUAACCUUGGCCGAAAGGUCUGGGUAAUCUCCAAAUUUCGUCGUGAUGGGGAUAGAUUAUUGCAAUUAUUAAUCUUCAACGAGGAAAGCCUAGUAAGCGCAAGUCAUCAGCUUGCGUUGAUUACGUCCCUGCCCUUUGUACACACCGCCCGUCGCUCCUACCGAUUGAAUGGUCCGGUGAAGCGUUCGGACCGUGGCCUUUGGACGGUUCGCCGUCUGUUGGCUGCGGGAAGUUCGUUAAACCUUAUCAUUUAGAGGAAGGAGAAGUCGUAACA
rnacentral:rRNA from 1 species